AUGGAAAUUCCAGGGGCAUCAUCUUGGCGCUCCAUAGCCAUGUCAUUGGCCUCACUGCUAAAAAGAUUCAGGGGCAUACCACAGUCGCCAAAAGGGUGCCUCUACAACCCAAAGAGUACCGGCGUCGGGAUUGUCUCGGCUAUUAUGGAACCAACUGCUGCAUGUCAAUGCAUUGUUGGGCCUCAUAUCCACGCCAAUGCGCGUGAGAUCCUAGAGGUUACACUACCAAACCUUUGUUGGAGCAAUAAGAGGCCAUUCCGACCAGCCAUACUGCCGUGCGGUCUAUGCCGCUGCUGGGUCGGUAGUGGCACCAUCUACAUGUUCAAAGGUGAGAUGGGAUUCUGUAAAAAAGAGUGUCGCGGCGACUAUAUCAAGGAGCAAUUGGAAAAACAGACACAUACAGUGAGGUGGUGUGCAAGAGAAAAGGUGCCACCAAUGGAGGAAGAUAAGGAAGGCGACCAGAGUUGCAUUUUCUUCACCUGCGCUGGCAGGCUAUGA
rnacentral:rRNA from 1 species